rnacentral:misc_RNA from 1 species
UCAAACUUGGUCAUUUAGAGGAAGUAAAAGUCGUAACAAGGUUUCCGUAGGUGAACCUGCGGAAGGAUCAUUAGUGAAUAAACUUGAGUGGGUUGUUGCUGACCUCUUCGGAGGUACGUGCACACCUGCCAUUGUUUCAUUCUCCCUUCCACCUGUGCACUCAUUGUGGAUCAAGCCACCAAACCUUCAGGCAUGCAUUGUCUGGCAUGAGGACUUGCACAUUGCUGCUGUCCUUGGGUGGUUCUGGUCUACGUCUUUAUCAACUCCACUGUAUGUCAUUGAAUGUAUGCUCUGGGUACUUUACGGCCCAUAAAACCUUAUACAACUUUCAACAACGGAUCUCUUGGCUCUCGCAUCGAUGAAGAACGCAGC